UUGAACGCUGGCGGCAUGCUUUACACAUGCAAGUCGAACGGCAGCACGGGGGCAACCCUGGUGGCGAGUGGCGAACGGGUGAGUAAUACAUCGGAACAUGUACGGAAGUGGGGGAUAACGUAGCGAAAGUUACGCUAAUACCGCAUAUGCCCUGAGGGGGAAAGAGGGGGAUCGCAAGACCUCUCGCUUUCGGAGUGGCCGAUAUCGGAUUAGCUAGUUGGUGGGGUAAAGGCUCACCAAGGCGACGAUCCGUAGCGGGUCUGAGAGGACGACCAGCCACACUGGGACUGAGACACGGCCCAGACUCCUACGGGAGGCAGCAGUGGGGAAUUUUGGACAAUGGGCGCAAGCCUGAUCCAGCCAUGCCGCGUGAGUGAAGAAGGCCUUCGGGUUGUAAAGCUCUUUCAGACGGAAAGAAAUCGUGCAGAUUAAUACUCUGUAUGGAUGACGGUACCGUAAGAAGAAGCACCGGCUAACUACGU
rnacentral:rRNA from 1 species